GGAAUCUUGGUCAAUGGGCGCAAGCCUGAACCAGCGACGCCGCGUGAGUGAUGAAGGCCUUCGGGUUGUAAAGCUCUGUGGGGAGGGACGAAAGAAUCGGUUCUAACAGGACCGAAGUUGACGGUACCUCCUUCGCAAGCACCGGCUAACUCUGUGCCAGCAGCCGCGGUAAGACAGAGGGUGCAAACGUUGCUCGGAAUCACUGGGCGUAAAGGGCGUGUAGGCGGGUGGAUAAGUCAGACGUGAAAUCCCCAGGCUCAACCUGGGAAUUGCAUUUGAAACUGUCCAUCUAGAGUGUCGGAGAGGAAAGCGGAAUUCCUGGUGUAGAGGUGAAAUUCGUAGAUAUCAGGAGGAACACCGGUGGCGAAGGCGGCUUUCUGGACGACAACUGACGCUGAGACGCGAAAGCGUGGGUAGCAA
rnacentral:rRNA from 1 species